GUGGUCACUUUGGCAGCACAGAUACUAAAAUUGGAACAAUACAGAGAUUAGCAUGGCCCCUGCACAAGGAUGACGUGCAAAGUCGUGAAGUGUUCCAUAUUAAA
rnacentral:snRNA from 1 species